UGGAACAUAAACUAACUUUGGUAAUAUACCAUCUUAACAUGAUGGAGAUUGUGGGUUCAAAUCCCAUUGCUCCAA
rnacentral:tRNA from 2 species